UCAUAUUCCCCUCCGCGUAAAAUAAAAUAAAAAAUAAAAAAUAAAAGCAGUGUUCCGAAAGCAGUUAGCUAUUCCGGCUUGGGAUUUCGAUGAAGGUUCUGAAACCUAGGGUUUCAAUCCGUCCGUACAAGAAAUCCUACGCGACUAGAGUAGUAGUCGUAGUCACAGUCACAGUCGUCGUUGUCUUCUUCUUCGUCUGGGUUUCGUUGCAAUGAGCGCCAUUAACAUCACCAACGUGACGGUGCUCGACAAUCCGGCUCUGUUUCUGGCACCCUUCCAGUUCGAAAUUUCUUACGAGUGCAACACUCCUCUCAAAGACGCUUUGAUCGACGGAAAAUUAUUUAACCACCAAGUAGCACCAACUUGAAGCAUUGACUUGUUCCAGGUAGGAAUAUGGACUCAUUGAGGACAACAGACUGAUUUGGAAUGGAAGCUCAUCUACAUGGGAUCUGCUGAGGAUGAGACUUAUGACCAACGCAAAUACGUUCACAAGACAAUCUAGCCAACCUCUUCACCAAAUCAUUACUGAAGACGACGUUUCAGAAGCUUGUUCAUGGAAUUGGUAUGCGUAAACUUUCUAAGUUGGAACAUUACUAUUUCUAUCUGGAAUCGUGUCAAACUUAGGGGGAGUAUCCUGAAGUAUAUUUGCUUGAUCUUAAUGUGCUCUUUUUCCCUGAGAUUAGGAGCAUUUUUCCCACUGUGUUUUUGCUACCUAACAAGGUUUUAACGAGGCACCCACCUUAGACUGGUCAUAUCCCUAAUGACGUCCCGUAGACGUUUCUUUUGACUUUGCAUUACUCAUGCAUUUUUCCUUAGACUAUGGAUUUUGUCCCUACUCGGGUUUUUGCCAUAACCUUAGGGUUUUUUUGUGAGACUUACUUCCUUAUGCAAGUUCCUACCUCAUUGAGAAUAGGAUGUUCCCAGAAUCAGUGUCGACGACUUGAUUUCUUCAACUUCUACAUGAUGUUGAAUCUACCUUAAGUAUUAACACACUCAAGGAGGAGUGUUGUAAACUUCCUAUUAAAGUGUGAUUGUGUAAAUCUUAGAUUAUAUUUUAUUCUAGUUAUCCUUUCCUAUUACAACUUGUAUUCCUUGGGGAUGAAGGAUUCUUUCCCCUUUACUACUAUAAA